rnacentral:rRNA from 1 species
UGUUCUUCGUGACAUGGCGUACUGCUCAGUAACACGUGGAUAACCUGCCCUUGGGUCUGGGAUAACCCCGGGAAACUGGGGAUAAUACCGGAUAACGCAUAUAUGCUGGAAUGCUUUAUGCGUAAAAUGGAUUCGUCUGCCCAAGGAUGGGUCUGCGGCCUAUCAGGUAGUAGUGGGUGUAAUGUACCUACUAGCCUACAACGGGUACGGGUUGUGAGAGCAAGAGCCCGGAGAUGGAUUCUGAGACAUGAAUCCAGGCCCUACGGGGCGCAGCAGGCGCGAAAACUUUACAAUGCGGGAAACCGUGAUAAGGGGACACCGAGUGCCAGCAUCAUAUGCUGGCUGUCCAGAUGUGUAAAAUACAUCUGUUAGCAAGGGCCGGGCAAGACCGGUGCCAGCCGCCGCGGUAACACCGGCGGCCCGAGUGGUGAUCGUGAUUAUUGGGUCUAAAGGGUCCGUAGCCGGUUUGGUCAGUCCUCCGGGAAAUCUGAUGGCUCAACCAUUAGGCUUUCGGGGGAUACUGCCAGGCUUGGAACCGGGAGAGGUAAGAGGUACUACAGGGGUAGGAGUGAAAUCUUGUAAUCCCUGUGAGACCACCUGUGGCGAAGGCGUCUUACCAGAACGGGUUCGACGGUGAGGGACGAAAGCUGGGGGCACGAACCGGAUUAGAUACCCGGGUAGUCCCAGCCGUAAACGAUGCUCGCUAGGUGUCAGGCAUGGCGCGACCGUGUCUGGUGCCGCAGGGAAGCCGUGAAGCGAGCCACCUGGGAAGUACGGCCGCAAGGCUGAAACUUAAAGGAAUUGGCGGGGGAGCACAACAACGGGUGGAGCCUGCGGUUUAAUUGGACUCAACGCCGGACAACUCACCGGGGACGACAGCAAUAUGUAGGCCAGGCUGAAGACCUUGCCUGAAUCGCUGAGAGGAGGUGCAUGGCCGUCGCCAGUUCGUACUGUGAAGCAUCCUGUUAAGUCAGGCAACGAGCGAGACCCGUGCCCACUGUUACCAGCAUGUCCUCCGGGACGAUGGGUACUCUGUGGGGACCGCCGAUGUUAAAUCGGAGGAAGGUGCGGGCCACGGUAGGUCAGUAUGCCCCGAAUUUCCCGGGCUACACSCGGGCUACAAUGAAUGGGACAAUGGGUCCCUACCCUGAAAAGGGCUGGUAAUCUCCCAAACCCAUCCGUAGUUCGGAUCGAGGGCUGUAACUCGCCCUC